rnacentral:miRNA from 1 species
AUAUAUUGAUAGAUAUAGAGAUAUAAAUAUAUAUCUCUAUAGAUAUCUAUCUCUAUAUAGAUAUAGAGAUAGAUAUAGAAAGAGA